ensembl:lncRNA
GUCUCUUUCAGCAGGAUAAGGCUCCCUGACACACUGCAGAAACUGUUCAGGAACGGUUUGAGGAACAUGAUAAAGAGUCGGCCUCCGAAUUCCCCAAUUUAAUCCGAUCUAGCGUCUGUGAGACGUUCUGGACAAACAAGUCUGAUCCACAGAGGCCCCACCUCACAACUUACAGGACUUAAAGGAUCAGCUGUAACGUGUUGGUGUCAGAUCUCACGGCGCACCUUCAGAGCUCUCGUGGAGUCCACGCCUCCACGGGUCCGAGCUGAUCUAAUGAGGACCUGCAGUAUUCGGCGGGUGGUUUUAAUGUUAUGGCUGAUACGUGUGUAUGAAGUAACGUUAUAAUAAUUAAACAUCACGCAGCUCAGUACAUUACAGAGAUAUAACCUCACAGUUUAACACGAUAAUGAAGGGGAAAAGCUGCGCACGCUCACACGUCCAAAUUAUUAGGAACAAGCUCACCUUUUACAUUUCCUACAGUUCCAACCUGCGCCUGUGUUUUCAGCAGAACUGAGCGGGUUCUCCAGGGAACCCGGUGCUAAAGGAUGUAGAGCCAUGUUCCAUACAAACCCGCACACAGACACAAACCUGACUCUCAGCUCACUGCGUACCGGGAACCGUCUCACUGCUGCACACAGUGUCCAGCAAAACUCUGUGUGUGUGUGUGUGUGUGAGAGAGUGUUUCUGUAGGUGUGUGUGUGCGCGUGUGUGUGUUUCUGUAGGUGUGUGUGUGCGCGUGUGUGUAUUUCUGUAGGUGCGUGUGUGUGUGUAUGCGCGUGUGUGUGUGUUUCUGUGUGUGUGUUUCUGUAGGUGUGUGCGUGUGUGUGUGUGUAUGCGCAUGUGUGUGUGUUUCUGUAGGUGUAGGUGUGUGUGUGUGUGUGUGUGUGUGUGUGUAUGUGUGUGUGUGUGUUUCUGUAGGUGUGUGUGUGUGUUUCUGUAGGUGUGUGUGUGCGUGCGCGUGAGUGUGUGUGCGCGCGCGUGUGUGUUUCUGUAGGUGUGUGUGUGUGUGUGUGUGUUUCUGUAGGUGUAGGUGUGUGUGUGUAUGCGCGCGUGUGUGUGUGUGUGUGUGUGUUUCUGU